rnacentral:lncRNA from 1 species
GACGUUGCUUUUUUUCUCUUCGCGAGUCUCGUCUCAGAUAAACACCCAUUAUGUUUUGGCCAUUGCAGAUUAAAAAUGGGUAUUUGAAAACUCAUUUAUGGGUGAAAAAAUAGUUAAAGCAAACGUUGCAAUAUUCCAUAGAUAACACAGCUGCAGUUCCGAAGAUUGAACAUAAUUAUAAAUCUUUAAAUUCAACUUCCCUUUUUUUUGUAAAUACAGCGACCAAAAAAGAGACAUUUCAGAUUUUCCUGUUAUUCCUGCCUCGGUUCCAGCCGGCUGCAGCAAAAUUCCAACCAUUGACAGAAUGGAGGAGCUUAUAUAUAGGCAAAUAUAAUGCGCCACCGUCAUAGAGGUCGCUGGAGACGAACGAGUGAAAUGUCACUGAAAAUGUUUGUUUACGUCCAAAAUUCAAUUCUUCAACCCAAAAAUUUGUUCAUAAUUAAUCGAUUAUUGAAAUAUUUUCCAUUGGCACACUCAUUUUGUACCAUUAUUCUUGCCACACGUGUGAUUUCACAACAAAUUUAACCACUAACAAAGAAUCCGGAAGUUUAUAACCUAUGUUGCCAAACAUCAAUUUUCCAAGUUUAUCCCACUAAUUGUACAUGAGCACUGACCGGAUCUGUACAUUUUCAAAGGAAAAAAAGUUUAUUCUGUUUCUCAAUGAUCUUUGAUCGUCUACAAAAUAACUAU